AUCUAACAUGGUCUCACAAAGUAAGAGCUGUUCUUUUCAUUUGUAUUUAUUUAUCUUGCAUGUUGGAAAGCAAGAACAUGAAAAAACAGCAGUUUUAAAAAGAAUGAGACCUUACCAAUUUACUUUCAAAGCAUUUUUAAAAAAUGGUCGCUGUUGUGCACUGAGGACACGCCCUUCUUUCGCUACACCGGCUGUGGAAUAUCCCGUUUCUUUAUUUGGACAGCUUUUUCAUCCUCUGGUCGAGCGUGGAGAAAUUCUCCUCUAUGGCCACCAGGUUUUCCUUCAUUGUCUGCUGGACCUGACACAAGUAAAUAUGGGGAAGAUGUAUUUGAGGUGAAUUGUUUUUUUGUACCAUGAAUACUCAGUCACAUUUUCAAAGUUACACCGUCUUCCUAAUUCUGAUGGGUGCAUGUAGCUGAUGAACCUUACCUGUGUCAGCAGGGUGUUGUUAUCUUUCAGAGAGUUGUUGAUCAUCUGUUGAGUGGUGUCCAGAUGUGUGAGAAGUUGGCCAAACUGCAUAGCUGUGAGACACACAGACACAGACACGGACGGUUCACCUUAAAUUCUUCCUGAAAGGAGUCAUAUUAUGGAACUUUUGAAUGGCUUGCGUACAAAUACAAUGGUGUCAUGUGAUCCAUCCCAUUGAAAUAAAUCAGCUCAAGGCUUGCAUGAAAAAUCCAUGAUGACAAAAUAGCAACGAUCAAAUCUACUCCCGCUCUGAUGAAUAUUAAAGAUGUGAUAUAAUCA